GAUGAAGAACGUAGCGAAAUGCGAUAAGUAAUGUGAAUUGCAGAAUUCAGUGAAUCAUCGAAUCUUUGAACGCACAUUGCGCCCCCUGGAAUUCCGGGGGGCAUGCCUGUUCGAGCGUCUCAGGGACGAACCCUCGCGCGGGAGUACGCGCGGUCGUGGCUGCGGUGGCGUGCCCGAGGCGGCGGCCACCGCGCUGGAAUCCAUGGGCGGACGCCUGCCGCGUGGCCGAGCGUGAUAUGACGCAUUGUCGCUCGCACGCGGCGAGGCUGCCAGCCCUGGCCCGUCUGUCGGGCGGGGGAGAGCAAGACACGUGAACUCCUCGAAUCAGGUAGGGAUACCCGCUGAACUUAAGCAUAUCAAUAAGCGGAGGA
rnacentral:misc_RNA from 1 species